GAUGAACGCUGGCGGCGUGCCUAAUACAUGCAAGUCGAACGAAGGUACUUGUACCUUAGUGGCGAACGGGUGAGUAACACGUAGGUAACCUGCCCACAGUUGGGAAUAACAGUUGGAAACGACUGCUAAUACCGAAUAUGAAAUCAUGAGGCAUCUCAAGAUUUUGAAAGGAGCUUCGGCUCCGCUAUGGGAGGGACCUGCGUCGCAUUAGAUAGUUGGUAAGGUAACGGCUUACCAAGUCAAUGAUGCGUAGCCGGACUGAGAGGUUGAACGGCCACACUGGGACUGAGACACGGCCCAG
rnacentral:rRNA from 1 species